rnacentral:lncRNA from 1 species
UACAUAAACAUGUUAUCAAUCAAAUAGAUAAGUAAACCACAUUCACGAUUUAUGAAAUCAUAACUGGAGAAAAUCAAGUCAUAUAAAACAUAUGAUCAUGGCUUUGAAUUCCCCUCUAACUAUAAAGAAAUUAGUUCCUCAUGUUCGCAAAUAAACAAAGAUAAUUAAAUUUAAACAUUGACAUAAAGAUAGAAAACACCUAGAAACGCUCCAACAAUCCAAGCUCCUUGAAUGGCAUGCACGGCUCCAAGAAUCUCCUUCCUUUUCCUUUGCAAACUCACGGCACAAGAGGGAUGUUUGGGUG